UCCACCCGGGUCUGUGGUUGCGGAUGCGCAAGCGUCCUAGUCCAUGGUAGGCGCGGCCGAAAGGAUCCACGUAAGCGCGAGGCCAAGCCUCGUCGUGAGCAUGGCGUGCCUUAGGGGUAAGUCGUACCGUUCCGGGCAGCCGAGAGGUCGCCCGGGGCGAGAGGACCGGUAGCGAGGCCAUGCCUUGCGGAAGUCCCGGUAUGCGAGUGUGGGGUCAAAGACCAGGUCAGCUGGGUGGA
rnacentral:ncRNA from 1 species